GGGGGGAUCUUCGGACCUCUCGCCAUUUGAUUAGCCCAAGUGAGAUUAGCUAGUUGGUAAGGUAAAGGCUUACCAAGGCGACGAUCUCUAGCUGGUUUGAGAGGAUGAUCAGCCACACUGGGACUGAGACACGGCCCAGACUCCUACGGGAGGCAGCAGUGGGGAAUAUUGGACAAUGGGCGCAAGCCUGAUCCAGCAAUGCCGCGUGUGUGAAGAAGGGCUUCGGGUUGUAAAGCACUUUCAGCGAGGUGGAAAGGAGUAUGUUUAAUAA
rnacentral:rRNA from 1 species